rnacentral:rRNA from 1 species
UGGGGAAUAUUGGACAAUGGGCGAAAGCCUGAUCCAGCCAUGCCGCGUGUGUGAAGAAGGUCUUCGGAUAGUAAAGCACUUUAAGUUGGGAGGAAGGGCAUUAACCUAAUACGUUAGUGUUUUGACGUUACCGACAGAAUAAGCACCGGCUAACUCUGUGCCAGCAGCCGCGGUAAUACAGAGGGUGCAAGCGUUAAUCGGAAUUACUGGGCGUAAAGCGCGCGUAGGUGGUUUGUUAAGUUGGAUGUGAAAUCCCCGGGCUCAACCUGGGAACUGCAUUCAAAACUGACUGACUAGAGUAUGGUAGAGGGUGGUGGAAUUUCCUGUGUAGCGGUGAAAUGCGUAGAUAUAGGAAGGAACACCAGUGGCGAAGGCGACCACCUGGACUAAUACUGACACUGAGGUGCGAAAGCGUGGGGAGCAAACA